UACGUAGGGUCCAAGCGUUGUCCGGAUUUAUUGGGCGUAAAGAGUAUGUAGGUGGUUUGGAAAGUUGGAUUUUAAAGCCCCGGGCUCAACCCGGGUACUGGAUUCAAUACUUCCUUACUCUGAGGAUAUCAGGGGCAAGCGGAAUUAGCGGAGUAGCAGUGAAAUGCGUUGAUCUCGCUAAGAACACCAAUGGCGAAGGCAGCUUGCUAGGAUAUCGCUGACACUGAGAUACGAAAGCGUGGGGA
rnacentral:rRNA from 1 species